rnacentral:rRNA from 1 species
AUUGAACGCUGGCGGCACGCUUUACACAUGCAAGUCGAACGGCAGCGCGGGCUUCGGCCUGGCGGCGAGUGGCGAACGGGUGAGUAAUGCAUCGGAACGUGCCCAGUAGUGGGGGAUAGCCCGGCGAAAGCCGGAUUAAUACCGCAUACGACCUGAGGGUGAAAGCGGGGGACCGAAAGGCCUCGCGCUAUUGGAGCGGCCGAUGUCGGAUUAGCUAGUUGGUGGGGUAAAGGCUUACCAAGGCGACGAUCCGUAGCUGGUCUGAGAGGACGACCAGCCACACUGGGACUGAGACACGGCCCAGACUCCUACGGGAGGCAGCAGUGGGGAAUUUUGGACAAUGGGGGCAACCCUGAUCCAGCCAUGCCGCGUGCGAGAAGAAGGCCUUCGGGUUGUAAACCGCUUUUGUUCGGGAAGAAAUCCUCUGGGCUAAUACCCCGGGGGGAUGACGGUACCGGAAGAAUAAGCACCGGCUAACUACGU